rnacentral:rRNA from 1 species
GGGUGGAAUCUGUAAAGUAGUAUUUAUUAUUAAAGUUUUAUAAAUGUCUUGAAUCUAGAGAGGUUAAGGAAUAAAAUAGGAUUAGAUACCCUAUUAUACUUUAUUUUAAAAACAUACUUGGGUAGUAAUCAGUUAUUGUCUUGAAACUUAAAAGAUUUGGCGGUGCUUUAGUCUAGUUAGAGGAACCUGUGGUGUAAACGAUAAACCACGCAGUAUCUUACUUUUUUUCAUUUAAUUUGUAUACCUCCAUUAUUAGAUAAAUUCUUAAGGAUUUAUUAAAAUAAUUUUUAUUAGUAUAUUAGGUCAAGGUGCAGUAGAUAAAAAAGUAUACAUGGGUUACAUUGUUAUUAUUAUCGGAUAUUUUUUCGAAGAGGGAGUAUGAAGUUGGAUUUAAAAGUAAAAUGAUUUUAAUAAGAUUAUUAGAUGUUAGCUCUAAAGUGUGUA